CCUACGGGUUGCAGCAGUGGGGAAUAUUGCACAAUGGGCGCAAGCCUGAUGCAGCCAUGCCGCGUGUAUGAAGAAGGCCUUCGGGUUGUAAAGUACUUUCAGCGGGGAGGAAGGUGUUGUGGUUAAUAACCUUGUCGAUUGACGUUACCCGCAGAAGAAGCACCGGCUAACUCCGUGCCAGCAGCCGCGGUAAUACGGAGGGUGCAAGCGUUAAUCGGAAUUACUGGGCGUAAAGCGCACGCAGGCGGUCUGUCAAGUCGGAUGUGAGAUCCCCGGGCUCAACCUGGGAACUGCAUUCGAAACUGGCAGGCUAGAGUCUUGUAGAGGGGGGUAGAAUUCCAGGUGUAGCGGUGAAAUGCGUAGAGAUCUGGAGGAAUACCGGUGGCGAAGGCGGCCCCCUGGAUAAAGACUGACGCUCAGGUGCGAAAGCGUGGGGAGCAAACAGGAUUAGAUACCCCUGUAGUC
rnacentral:rRNA from 1 species